UUACUGUGCAGAUACAGAGACGGGGGUGGCGUUAUGCAAGGUCACGAUAGGGUCAAGGACGUCCUCAAACAGAAGCUGUGAAUGUGACUAUUGAACCAUGGGGAAAGUGGUCACUUACUCAUAGAGACAGAUGUGAUGACGUCACUCCGGUCAUUCAAACGGCGAGCCUCAUGAAGUCCAGGGUGGGGAUAAUGGUCUGCGAACUUGUCCGAUCAGUUUACACUACAUGUGUGAACAAUGCAUUUUGAACAUGGAUGGUGAUUACAGGAUUACCGAGUAAAUGAAUGAAACACGA